ANNGGCCCNAAUUNCUNGGGGGGCNANNNGNGGGAAUUUUCCCCANUGGGGNAAACCCUNAAGGANCNANUNCCGNGNNGNGGANGAAAGNCNUNNGGGUUUNUNAUUUCCNUUUUUUCANANAANAANUUUUGACGGUNUUUNNGGAAUAAGCAUNGGNUAAUUCCGUGCCAGCAGNCCGNGGUNAUUCGGAGGAUNCAAGCGUUUUUCCGGAAUCNUUNGGGCGUAAAGNGUCUGUUAGGGUGGCUUGGUAANUCGACUGUUAAAUCGUAGAGCUUAAACUCUAUAUNGGCAGUCGAAACUACUUGGCUCGAGUGUNGUAGGGGCAGAGGGAAUUCCCCGGUGUAGCGGUGAAAUGCGUAGAUAUCGGGAAGAACACCAACGGCGAAAGCACUCUGCUGGGCCAACACUGACACUGAGAGACGAAAGCUAGGGUAGUCAAUGGGAUUAGAUACCCCAGUAGUCCUAGCCGUAAACGAUGGAUACUAAGUGGUGUGCGUAUUGACCCGUACACUGCUGUAGCUAACGCGUUAAGUAUCCCGCCUGGGAAGUAUGCUCGCAAGGGUGAAACUCAAAGGAAUUGACGGGGGCCCGCACAAGCGGUGGAGCAUGUGGUUUAAUUCGAUGCAACGCGAAGAACCUUACCAGGGCUUGACAUCCUACGAAUUCUUCAGAAAUGAGGAAGUGCCUUCGGGAACGUAGAGACAGGUGGUGCAUGGCUGUCGUCAGCUCGUGUCGUGAGAUGUUGGGUUAAGUCCCGCAACGAGCGCAACCCUUAUCUUUAGUUACCACGAUAACUCUAAAGAGACUGCCGGUGAUAAACCGGAGGAAGGUGAGGAUGACGUCAAGUCAGCAUGCCCCUUACGCCCUGGGCGACACACGUGCUACAAUGGUCGAGACAAUGAGUUGCGAUCUCGCGAGAGUCAGCUAACCUCAAAAACUCGAUCUCAGUUCAGAUUGCAGGCUGAAACUCGCCUGCAUGAAGGUGGAAUCGCUAGUAAUCGCAGGUCAGCCAUACUGCGGUGAAUCCGUUCCCGGGCCUUGUACACACCGCCCGUCACACCAUGGGAGCUGGCCAUGCCCAAAGUUGUUACCCUAACCGCAAGGAGGGGGAUGCCUAAGGCAGGGCUAGUGANCUGGGGUGAAGUCGUAACAAGGUAACCAUCCAGCUCGNCCAG
rnacentral:rRNA from 1 species